GUGCGCUCGGACGACAACGAAGUCAAGCAGCCCCCUUUCUUACAGUUGCCAUCUUACAAAGCUUUAUUAUAGACUCUUAACAUCGUGUCUACGCUGCAAAAGAGCGACGCGACGCUACAAACUUAAACCAAACCGUUAUAAUAUUAAUUGAUUAUAACGGUCGCUUUCUAUUUUUUGUCGCGUCGCGUGAGAUAAGUACGUAAUUACGCACUUGUGGCGGUUCCCAACAGCUUGUACAAAUACCUUGCGCUUGUUUGCUUUGACCAAGAACUUUAGUUUUCGUGAAGUCAAAGACAUGAUAAAGUUAUUUUCAAGACGGAGAACACGGCAAGGAUCAGUCGAAGUGGAGAUGACAUCCUUUCUGGACAUUUAUACAUUUUCUCUCAAAGUAUUUGUGCUGUCAGCGCUGGAAGAAAAGUCACGGACAUCUGCGAAGAAGUUUGCAAAAGAACGUUCACCAGACGGAUCUUUCUCAGAAAUACAGACAUUCUGAUUGUAACUUAGCGCCAUUUUGGAGAACAUCCGCUGAACGCAGGCAGCGCUCUUCUGUGUCAGCUACAACACAAGCCAUUUUCCAUUUCCUGCUCAGUACUGAGAGAAAACCGUUUAGAGAGAUCAGUGGGCGAAAACAUGGACGCUCUGACUUUAGAAAACCGCUGAUCUGUUCAGGUAAAAUCAACCGCUUCCAUACACCUUAGUCAGGGAAGAUGCCAUAUUUGAUUUUAUGCAGAUGCUGUGGGGUGAGGGAACGUAAUUAUCAAAAUUCACAACUUUAUGGAGUUUUUGUCUACUGAAAGUGUCUUCGGAAAGAUGUUUUUGUCAGCUGAACAUGUGGCAUGGCAUGUUAUUACCGUAGACUGUAUAAAAAUACGGAUGUACUGUCUGUGACGUCACCCGUAGGUUUCCGAAGAGCGUUUUUGAAGCUCAAAGUGGGUGGAGCCGGCUGUUGCCAUCUUGGCAGCGCGUCACCGCAUGUCGCUCCUGGAUAAUUGAAAAUGGGCAAAAAGGUGGGAGCUGCUGAAACCACGCCCACCUAGUGCGAUGGUGGUGACAGCGGUGCCAAUCCACCUGUCACUCAAGUGGCCACGCCCUUAAUUAUGAAGAAUUUUUAGGCUUAAUAUAAUCUAAACGGAUGAGUUAUAAAAAAAAAUCACCCCCUCACAGUUGUCAUGAAGGGUAAAAUUAGCUGUAUAGACCAAAAUAAUUUUUUGAACCAGGCUGUAAACAUGUUUUUUUCUGCUAUAAAGUUGGGCAUUUUAACAUGGGGAGUCUAUGGGAUUGACUCCCUUUUGCAGCCAGCCUCUAGCAGCCAGUUGAGGAAUUACAGUUUAAGUCACUUCCGUGUUGGCUUCACGAGAGAGAGCGUGAGGUUGCGUUAGCUUGGCUACUUUGGAUGACACUUUUAUCCAAAGCAAUUAAUAAAUUUAGACAUUUAGAAUUCAAUUUAGAGGUUUUGUCAUAUGGGCCUUUACAUUUAAGGCCUGUUUACACCAAGAAUGAUAACCAUAAUGAUAAUAAUAACUAUAUUAGCACCCACACCAAUGAACAUUCUGUAAUGUUCUGUAAAGUAUAAGUGCAUACUGCAGUUUUGUCAUCUGCUUCUUUACAUGUGUGAACGUUUUAAGUAAAUUUAUAAAACGCUAAACACAUCAAAGAGUAAAAAAAACAACAACCCGAAAUUAGCCUGGGUUAGUGCAGGUUAUUUGCUUCUUGUUUGCUCUGCUGUGUGCCUGUAAUCAAACAGGCAAAACAGCUCAGACGAUUUAUCAUAUUACACAAACUAUGCGUUGUUUUGACAUUGUUGCAGUUAAUGCUUUAAUGCUUAACAUUCAAUCAUUACCUUUUCGAAAUAAUCCAUUAAACAUGUUACAAUUUGAGGAGAGUGCACUAAAAUUUUCAGUUCCAUUCAUUUGCGCGUUGUCUCAAGUACACGCCCACAAUAUGGGAACUAAUGAAUAUUCAUGUAAACUCCACCCAAUGUAACAAUUUUUUCACAGGAACUCUAUAUUACACAACACCGAACAAGCACGUCAGUGAAUUAAAUGUCAGUUUUGCAUUUUUCUCUGAAACUGGCAGUGCAUAGCCUAGAUUUAUGCUUUCAGUUUGAGUGGAAAUCUUAUACAGUAUAACAGUUAGUCGAUCUAAACAGUGAUUGUUCAUUAACAGCAGUCAACAAUGUUGGUACGCAAAUGAGUCGUCUGAACAUAUUUACACAUAGCAUUUUUUUAUUUUGGUCGUGAACUUAUGUGCACCCCUGUUUAUAGCUAUAAUUGUCAUUAUUACAGUUAUUGUCCUUGAUGUGAACAUCCCUUUAAUCUUUGAACAGUAAAAUAUCUAGGCCAGCAGUUUCUUCCUAUCUUCUUCACAUCUGUGUACAUUACAUCACAAUACAUUACUCUGAGUUAUUUUCUGUGCAUCAGUGAAACAGCCAAUCAAAUGUAACCUCAGUAGUGCGCAAAGACGAUUUAAAAAUCAGCAGAUUUUGUGUCCCUCAUGUGUUAGCAUUGUAGUUGUGAUCAAAUGGAGGAUAAUGUGUCAAGACCUAUUUAUUAAACUCUUCAUUACUGCAUUCGACACAUUGAGUAAGUCUUUUUCACUCUUCAUUUCAUGUUUCUUUUUUCUUGUUUUUAAUUCAGUUUUGCACUCAUGGUAGAGUGUAAGUGUGGGAUAGCAUGACUUCCUGCUGACCUCUGAGAGUUAGCGUUUUCUGUUAAUCAGUGUUCUGGUGACACAGAUGACUUGUUCUCUUACUGUGAGUUUCGUGCUUAGAAUCAGGGAACUGUGUUUAACUGCCUGUCGAGUGCAGAGGAGUGUGACCUCCAGCAAGGUCAGAGAGGUCUUCGUCAUCUGAUUCUGCUUCGGGUGGUUUUGGGUUCCUGGAAAAAAGGAGACAGAGAGUUAAAGCAAUGUGAGUGAAUGGAAACAAGUGCAUCACAUUAGAAAAUGGGACAGUGUUGUUUUGUUGCAUUUAAAGAUCAGGAAACACAAGAAAGGGAAAAUCAGCACAUAAAAGUAGAUAAAAAUAGUUUUAUAUUUGCUGUAGUUGUUAUCCAUACAUAUUUUUAUUUAUUAGUAUAGACUUCAAUUCAGUUUUGAAGAACAUUCUCACAAAAACAGUCAAAUGCAUAACCAGUGCCCUCUGAUUUGAUAGAUGUGUUGAAUAGGUAACAAGUUGUGGUUACUGUUAAAGUCAGAGGAGGAUUCUAGACAUUGACUUAACCUCAUCUGCCCCACAACAGGUCCAUCCCACAGGGCAUAUGCUACCAUGAGAAGUGCAGUUUAAGUCUGCAUUAGGAAAGAAUGCUUUGAUGAGGCCCUUGAUCUAGGGGAAAUCAGAGUGCCGCUCACAAGGGUGGUAUUUUCACAGUCUCAGAAAGAACAGGACGAUCACAAAAUCUUAGACAUCAGGACCAAUGAAUUCAGGCUAAUUUGAGGAAACUUUAAUGUACUCUCAGACUCUGUCUCAGACAGAAGGAGAAAGGAUGAAGAGAUUUUUUUUUUUUUUUUUAUAGUCUGAUCAUUGUUUAAAAUGUGUUUGUCUAAAAUGCUGUGGUGGUCAGUCUAAUAGUGUUGCACAUUCUGCCUAUCAUUAACUGAAAAGUAUGACAUGAUCUACCCAACAUCAUGUCACUCGAAAAACAUUUUCACUGUGCAGUAUGAAAAGUGUUAUUAUCAAAGUCGUUCUUUUCCAUGCAAUGAAAAUGUAAUGCAUCAAAAAUAAACCAAGUCUG
ensembl:lncRNA